UCCCGAGUAACUCAGUUGGUAGAGUGCCUUAAGUGGCUGGUCGCGGGAUCGAAGCCCGCCUCGGGAGCAA
rnacentral:tRNA from 1 species